AGCCAAGCUACUAAGGGCAAACGGUGGAUGCCUUGGCAGCAAGAAGCGAUGAAGGGCGUGGCUACCUGCGAUAAGCCUUGGGAAGCUGGAAGCAAGCUUUGAUCCAAGGAUGCCCGAAUGGGGAAACCCACCUGGCUUAAUGGCCGGGUAUCUAUGACUGAAUACAUAGGUCAUAGAGGCAAACGGAGGGAAGUGAAACAUCUCAGUACCUCUAGGAGAAGAAAGCAAGAGCGAUUUCCUGAGUAGCGGCGAGCGAAAGGGAAACAGCCCAAACCAGGUGGGUGUAAAAACUUGCGGGUGUUGCCCACCUGGGGUUGAGGGGUUUUACUAGGUAAGGCCGCAAACUUGCCGAGAAGUUAAAAAUCUACAUCCUAGCCGAACAGGCUGGAAAGUCUGGUCACAGAGGGUGACAGCCCCGUAGGUGAAAGGAUAGUAGACUUCUUGAGUAAGAUACCCAAGUACCACGGGACACGAGAAAUCCUGUGAGAAUCUGGGAGGACCAUCUCCUAAGGCUAAAUAUUACUUGCUGACCGAUAGUGAAUAGUACCGUGAGGGAAAGGUGAAAAGAACCCCGGGAGGGGAGUGAAAUAGAACCUGAAACCGCUUGCUUACAAGCUGUGGAAGGGCUAUGUUUCCUUCGGGAAAUACGCCUGACCACGUGCCUUUUGUAUAAUGAGCCAGCGAGUUGCUCUUGGCGGCAAGGUUAAGCCGUGAGGCGAAGCCGUAGCGAAAGCGAGUCUUAACAGGGCGUUUAGUCGUUAGGAGCAGACCCGAAGCCAAGUGAUCUAUCCAUGGCCAGGGUGAAGUCUGGGUAAAGCUGGAUGGAGGCCCGAACCGGUUAGGGUUGAAAACCUAUCGGAUGAGCUGUGGAUGGGAGUGAAAGGCUAAUCAAACUUGGUGAUAGCUGGUUCUCCCCGAAAUAUAUUUCAGUAUAGCCUUACGUGAUGGAUGGCGGUGGUAGAGCACUGGUUGGGCUAGGGGUCUUAACCGGCUACCAAACCCAUCCAAACUCCGAAUGCUGCUAUUCCAAGCGUAGGAGUCAGUUUACGGGUGAUAAAGUCCGUAGUCAAAAGGGGAACAACCCAGACCGCCAGCUAAGGUCCCAAAGUGCGUGCUAAGUGGGGAAGGAGGUGAGACUGCUAAGACAGCCAGGAGGUUGGCUUAGAAGCAGCCAUCCUUUAAAGAAAGCGUAACAGCUCACUGGUCAAGUGGUUUUGCGCCGAAAAUAUAACGGGGCUUAAGCACGUCACCGAAGCUGCGGGUUCAAAAGAAAGCAAUGCUUCCUUUUGAGCGGUAGGGGAGCAUUCCAGUUGCCUGUGAAGCUAGACCGCAAGGACUAGUGGAGGUGCUGGAAGAGAUAAUGCUGGCAUAAGUAGCGAUAAAGGGAGUGAGAAUCUCUCUCACCAUAAGCCCAAGGUUUCCUGGGUAAAGCUCGUCUACCCAGGGUUAGGCGGUCCCUAAGCCGAGGCUGAAAGGCGUAGGUAAUGGGAAGCUGGUUAAUAUUCCAGCCCCACUAAACUGGCGCUAUUACCGAUGAGGGGACGCAAGAAGGUAGCCCGGCCGGGUGCUGGAUGUCCCGGUUUAAGCCUGUAGGCGGGGAGGGUAGGCAAAUCCGUCCUCCUACUAAACGCUGAGAGGUGAUGACGAGGCCUUCGGGCCAUAAAGUGGGUAAGCCUAUGUUGCCAAGAAAAGCCUCUAGGGAGUCAGUUUAGUGACCGUACCGCAAACCGACACAGGUAGGCUAGGAGAGCAUCCUAAGGUGCGCGAGAGAACCCUGGUUAAGGAACUCGGCAAAUUGACACCGUAACUUUGGAAGAAGGUGUGCCUCCAUUAGGUGUAAGACCUUGCGUCUGAAGCUGAAGGGGGUCGCAGUAAACAGGCGGUGGCGACUGUUUAUUAAAAACACAGGUCUCUGCUAAGUCGUAAGACGACGUAUAGGGACUGACGCCUGCCCGGUGCUGGAAGGUAAAGGGGAGGGGUCAGCUGGGUUUUUACCUGGUAAAGCUCUGAACCGAAGCCCCAGUAAACGGCGGCUGUAACUAUAACGGUCCUAAGGUAGCGAAAUUCCUUGUCGGGUAAGUUCCGACCUGCAUGAAUGGCGUAACGAUUGCCGCGCUGUCUCAACCAGGGACUCGGCGAAAUUGUAGUGGUUGCGAAGAUGCAAUCUACCCGCGGUUAGACGGAAAGACCCCGUGCACCUUUACUAUAGCCUGACAUUGGGUUUUGGGCUAGCAUGUGUAGGAUAGGUGGGAGGCUGGGAAGCGGGAACGUUAGUUCCCGUGGAGCCGUCCUUGAAAUACCACCCUUGUUAGUUUAGGAUCCUAACCUCGAGCCGUUAUCCGGUUCAGGGACAGUGUUAGGUGGGUAGUUUGACUGGGGCGGUUGCCUCCUAAACGGUAACGGAGGCGCACAAAGGUUCCCUCAAGCGGAUUGGAAACCCGCUGUUGAGUGUAAAGGCAUAAGGGAGCUUAACUGCGAGGCCUACAAGCCGAGCAGGUGCGAAAGCAGGUCUUAGUGAUCCGGCGGUUCCGUAUGGAAGGGCCGUCGCUCAUCGGAUAAAAGGUACGCCGGGGAUAACAGGCUUAUCUCCCCCAAGAGUCCACAUCGACGGGGAGGUUUGGCACCUCGAUGUCGGCUCAUCCCAUCCUGGGGCUGGAGAAGGUCCCAAGGGUCGGGCUGUUCGCCCGUUAAAGGGGUACGUGAGCUGGGUUUAAAACGUCGCGAGACAGUUUGGUCCCUAUCUACCGUGGGCGCAGGAGACUUGAGGGAAGCUGCCUCUAGUACGAGAGGACCGAGGUGGACGCACCGCUGGUGUACCAGUUGUCUCGCCAGAGGCACAGCUGGGUAGCUAUGUGCGGAAGGGAUAACCGCUGAAGGCAUCUAAGCGGGAAGCCCAUCCCAAGAUGAGGUCUCCCGUGGUAAUCCGAAAGGAUUGCCCCUGAAGGCUCCUUGGAGACUACAAGGUUGAUAGGCCGGAGGUGGAAGCUCAGCAAUGGGUGAAGCUGACCGGUACUAAUAAGCCGUGCGGCUUGGCUAC
rnacentral:rRNA from 1 species